UUUUUUUUCUAUUUGGCUUUCAUUUUCCCUGACUCCCUCCGAACCAACCUGCAUCACCCACCUCCCCCCAACCAAAUGUAUACUCUUCAAUACUUUUCUUCAUGCAUAGAAAAAUCAUACACAAACACAUAUGAAUACAUGUUUAUCAUUCAUCUAGAGGAAUUUUGUCACUGAUUUAAAAAAAGAGUCGUUUUUAUACACUUGUACUUUGCUUUUUUUGCUCAAGAAAACAUUGUAGACUUCUAUUCAAGUCCACUAGCAUGGUUUAAUUUGUCCACCUUAAUGGCUAAACGCUAUGGAAUGCAUAUACUAGUUUCUCCCCUCUUCCAAUUUCCCUAUUGAUGGGCAUUUAUUUUGAUUCUAGUGUUUUAUUGCAGUAGGAACAAUUUUAUAAUAAAUACAUAUGUUCAUCCAUCCUUUAUAUAUUGGGGUUUUACUUCUAAGAGAAGAUUUCCCAAAGUGGCAUAAGUAUUUUAAGUUUUAAUAGAUGUUGCCAGAUUGCUUUUUGAAAGAGCUCUAAUGAUUUAUGUUUCCACCAGCGGAGUGGAAGAACAAUCUUGGGACAGCAAAAAAGCAUUCCUAUUUCUUGUCAGUUUGACUGCGUACUGUUAUCUCAUAUUAUGACUUUAAUCUGUAUUCCCCAAUAAUUACCAAGGCUAAACAUUUUUUGAUGGGCCCAUCAUCAGCCACUUGGAUUUGCUCUCUCUACAACUUGUCUAUUCAUCUUCUCUGCCAUGUUUUGCCACUAAGUUAUCUCUUCCCUGUCAAACUGAAGAGCACUUCUCUGACUGCCUUUGCAAAUAUUUCAUCCAAAAUUAUAAUGUACUGACUUUGUUGAUGGCACCUUUUGCCAUACAAAAGAUCAUACAUUAAUGUAGUCAAUUUUUUCCUGUUAUUUGUGUUUUUUGUUGUUGUUGUUUUGUUUUUUAAGUAGGCUCCAUGUCCAGCAUGGAGUUCAGUGUGGGGCUUGAACUCAUGACUGAGAUCAAAACUUGAGCUGAGAUCAAGAGUCAAAGGCUUAACAGACUGGGCCACCACAGCAGCCAAUUUUUAAUUUUUAAUAGCUUUUGAGUAUUCUGUGUUGGUAAAGUUAAUCUCUCCAAUCCCUACAUUGUACAUAUAGUCUCCUUUCAUUUUCAUUUUAUUAUUUAAAAAAUUUAAAUCUUAAAUCCACCUGAAUUUUUUUUAAAAAACAUGGUUGGGGCCACUAGUCUAAUUUUACUUCCUUCCCGAUUAAAAGCUAAUUAUCCCAGAAUUCUUUUUAAAUAAACUAUUCCUUUCCCCUAUGGUUUGAAAUUCUACCUUUUAUAUAUGAGAAAGCUCAUAUAUAUUAAAGUCUAUUUCAGGAUUUUCUAUUCUGUUCCAUUGAUGUACUUAUUGACUCCUUUGUCAAUAUUUUAUUAAUUUAAAAAAAGUGUUACUUCAUGUUAUGUUCUGACAACUGGUAUGAAAUUUUCUUUUUCACACUUUUCUUGUCUAGAUUGUUAGAACAAAUGUUCUUCCAUAUGGGCUUUAAGAUCAUUUCCCAUAAGAUUAAAAAAGAAAAAGGCACAGACAUUUAGUGUAUUCCAAAAGAAGUGCAUAUAAAUUAUUAGAUGUUUACAGAGAGUAGCUUUUUAAAAAUAUUUUAUUUAUUCAUGAUAAACACACACACACACACACACAGACCAAGACAGAAAGACAGAGACAGAGACACAGGCAGAGGGAGAAGCAGGCUCCA
rnacentral:lncRNA from 1 species